AUGCACCAGAUACUGACUGCCUGCUGCUCAGUUGAGUUCAUUCAUACUGAUGUGUGUGUGACUGUGGCUGUCAGGUCCAGAACAGUGCUAAAGAAAUGCAAGACCCUGAGAUAUAAGCUUUGAGCAGGGAGUCAUUCCCUCAGGUGUUAUAACUCUAGGGCACAACU